CAGCAGCCGCCACGGGAAAACGAAGGGGGCAAGCGUUGUUCGGAAUUACUGGGCGUAAAGCGUGCGCAGGCGGUUCGUUAAGACAGAUGUGAAAUCCCCGGGCUUAACCUGGGAACUGCAUUUGUGACUGGCGAGCUAGAGUAUGGCAGAGGGGGGUGGAAUUCCGCGUGUAGCAGUGAAAUGCGUAGAUAUGCGGAGGAACACCGAUGGCGAAGGCAGCCCCCUGGGCCAAUACUGACGCUCAUGCACGAAAGCGUGGGGAGCAAACAGGAUUAGAUACCCCAGUAGUCCCUGUCUCUUU
rnacentral:rRNA from 1 species